GUCUACGGCCAUGUCACCCUGAAUAAGCCGGCUCCUGUCUGAUCUUGAAAGCUAAGCGGGGUUGGGCCUGGUUAGUACUUGGAUGAGAGACCACCUAGGAAGUCCAAGUGCUGUAGGCG
rnacentral:rRNA from 1 species